AUGAGGAAAGGAGGAAGAGCGGGCUCACCUGUGCCGAGCGGCUCCUCCUCAACUGGGGGUUGUGUUCCUCUUGCCUACCUCUCGAGUUGUCGCCUCCUCAUCAACCCGUCCCCACUGCCAUUGCUAGGAGACACAGCCGCCACACUCUCCUUCGGCCAGAUGCGCUGUUGCAUCCCGAUGAUGGUGACGAGGAGAGAGGAGGAGAGACAGGGGAGGCGGCGGCGGCUGGAGAGGAUGAACGGGGGCAGGGGAGGCGAGGGAAUGGCUAGGGUUGGUGGGGAGGAGGACGCGGGGAUUGGUGGGGAGGAGGAGGACAGGGGAUUGGUGGAUGAGUCGUCCACGACCGGCGCGGUUAAGAUAUUUUUCACCGAAGACGCAGGCGACGCAACAAAUCAUGCACACUGCCAAGCCAGGCCCGCGAGAGAAGAAGGCCCACCCGUCAUCUGCUUGAACAAGAAAAAGCAGCGUGGAAAGAAACAGGCCAUGGGAUUUUGA
rnacentral:rRNA from 1 species